UACGUAGGGUGCAAGCGUUGUCCGGAAUUAUUGGGCGUAAAGAGCGUGUAGGCGGCUCGAUUAGUCCGCUGUGAAAGUCCAGGGCUCAACCCUGGAAAGCCGGUGGAAACUGUCGAACUAGAGUCCGGAAGAGGCGAGUGGAAUUCCUGGUGUAGCGGUGAAAUGCGCAGAUAUCAGGAGGAACACCAAUGGCGAAGGCAGCUCGCUGGGAUGGUACUGACGCUGAGACGCGAAAGCGUGGGGAGCAAACAGG
rnacentral:rRNA from 1 species